GCAACAGUUUGUGGCACGGUAAACUCCACCCGAAGCAAGACCAAAUAGGUUCCCUACAGGCGCGGCCCGCGCUGGGAACGGGUAGGUUGCUGGAGCCUGCGAGCGAUUGCAGGCCUAGACGAAUGACUGUUCAAGACAGAACCCGGCUUAUCGGUUGACUCAAUUA
rnacentral:RNase_P_RNA from 1 species